GAUGAAGAACGCAGCGAAAUGCGAUAAGUAAUGUGAAUUGCAGAAUUCAGUGAAUCAUCGAAUCUUUGAACGCACAUUGCGCCCGCCAGUAUUCUGGCGGGCAUGCCUGGUCGAGCGUCAUUACAACCCUCAGGCCCCCGGGCCUGGCGUUGGGGAUCGGCGGAAGCCCCCUGCGGGCACAACGCCGUCCCCCAAAUACAGUGGCGGUCCCGCCGCAGCUUCCAUUGCGUAGUAGCUAACACCUCGCAACUGGAGAGCGGCGCGGCCACGCCGUAAAACACCCAACUUCUGAAUGUUGACCUCGAAUCAGGUAGGAAUACCCGCUGAACUUAAGCAUAUCAAUAAGCGGAGGA
rnacentral:misc_RNA from 1 species